AACUACAAUUUAAGAUACAUUCUCCCACCAAGUGACAGCUAUUUUUCCUAGGCAGCUAUAAAUUCUUUACCUUAUAAGGUCGUGAACCAGACUUAUAUUCUAGGAAAAAUGUUGAUCUUCCCACAACUUCUACACACACACCUAUAGAGUCGACACUACACAACG